rnacentral:lncRNA from 1 species
GAAACUUUGUAAAUAGGACUCUACGAAUUUCCAUGUGGGACGAAAGAAUGUCAAGGACAAUUCCAAACACAAAACUUUGAUUGUGCUGGAACCGGAAAGGCACAGUAAGAACUCCACUGCGCUCUUCAGUUCAAAACCUGCAUCCUGCAGACAAACUCCAGAAAGCAUGGGAGAAAGAGCAAAGGAGAGAGGGCUUAUCUCAGAGUAAAGCUAUGUGCUGAGGUAUGACUGUAGACAGCCA